UUUUGGGAUUCAGCUGGAUGGAAUGCUCUGGUGAAUGUUGAUCGGACAAAGAGACAGUUACAGAUGAUCUUGGAAGGAAGAGUUCCCACUGGAACAAACUUACACAGUUUCAAUCCUGACUGGGAUGUUUGCAACUAUCCUGUUAUUCCGGAAAAUGUAAUUCAUGGAGUUGCAUUCAUAUUCAACAUCGACAUCGUAGACUGGAUCAGUGAUGAUAAAAUGAAAGAGUUUCAGGAGUUACAGACGAUCGUGGCACAGAAAUUUUGAGAAGUUGGCAGAAUGCACUGGGAUGGAGAGGCAUUCCAUGUUUGUGGUUUCAAAUCAGUGGAGAGGUGAACGGAUCGAGAUGAUAAAAUGCAUCCUGGCCCUGUAUGUUCUGGAUAAUAUGGUCAGAAAUAUUGACCGAUUUCUCAAAGCAGUGUAAUGAUCACAGCUGACCUUGUCCAGUGCUGUGAAUCCGAUCCAGUUUCAGGAGCACAGACACCGCUGUGGGAUUGAUAUUUUUAUUGUUUUCCCUGUAGUUUUAGCAUUCUUUAUGCUUGUUUAUAUAUUUGUACAAUCACCUGCUUGUCCAUAGACUUUCAGUAACUUGUUGUAUCAGUAGUUCCAUUCUUCUGUAGUUGCUAUCCUUGCAAAGUUGAAGGGGGAGUCAGUGAGUAUCUGCUGAAAUGGUUUCUCAAAUAAACUGGCUCAGCCCACU